rnacentral:rRNA from 1 species
GACAGAGGGUGCAAACGUUGUUCGAAAUUACUGGGCGUAAAGCGUGCGCAGGCGGCCUUGCAAGUCGGGCGUGAAAUCCCACGGCUCAACCGUGGAAGUGCACUCGAAACUGCUUGGCUAGAGUCUUGGAGAGGAAGGCGGAAUGCUUGGUGUAGAGGUGAAAUUCGUAGAUAUCAAGCGGAACACCGGUGGCGAAGGCGGGUCUCUGGGCCGAUACUGACGCUGAGGAGCGAAAGCGUGGGGGAGCGAACAGG